rnacentral:rRNA from 1 species
CCUACGGGUUGCACCAGUGGGGAAUAUCGCACAAUGGGCGCAAGCCUGAUGCAGCCAUGCCGCGUGCGUGAAGAAGGCCUUCGGGUUGUAAAGCACUUUCAGCGGGGAGGAAGGCGGUGAGGUUAAUAACCUCACCGAUUGACGUUACCCGCAGAAGAAGCACCGGCUAACUCCGUGCCAGCAGCCGCGGUAAUACGGAGGGUGCAAGCGUUAAUCGGAAUUACUGGGCGUAAAGCGCACGCAGGCGGUCUGUCAAGUCGGAUGUGAAAUCCGCGGGCUCAACCUGGGAACUGCAUUCGAAACUGGCAGGCUAGAGUCUUGUAGAGGGGGGUAGAAUUCCAGGUGUAGCGGUGAAAUGCGUAGAGAUUUGGAGGAAUACCGGUGGCGAAGGCGGCCCCCUGGACAAAGACUGACGCUCAGGUGCGAAAGCGUGGGGAGCAAACAGGAUUAGAUACCCCAGUAGUC